rnacentral:rRNA from 1 species
UACGUAGUGCAAGCGUUAUCCGGAAUUAUUGGGCGUAAAGAGCGCGCAGGUGGUUGAUUAAGUCUGAUGUGAAAGCCCACGGCUUAACCGUGGAGGGUCAUUGGAAACUGGUCGACUUGAGUGCAGAAGAGGGAAGUGGAAUUCCAUGUGUAGCGGUGAAAUGCGUAGAGAUAUGGAGGAACACCAGUGGCGAAGGCGGCUUCCUGGUCUGUAACUGACACUGAGGCGCGAAAGCGUGGGGAGCAAACAGGAUUAGAUA